UAGAGCUGAAAUCUUCAUUCUUCAUUCAAAAAUCACACACCAAUCAUAAACAAUUCGAUAAUACACGUGAACUGAAGACGAUCGAUAUGCCGAAAAAAGACCUCAGAAAUCUUUGUUGUUCUCCAAAACGUUCACCUGAUAGUACUUCUCCAUCUACUUCACAAUUAUCUUCCCUUUCACGUUUCUCGUUUUCACCUUCUCGCCC
rnacentral:lncRNA from 1 species